UGAGAGAGAGAGAUGGGGGUUUUGGGGUAACGUAGGGCCGAAAGUUUAGGCGGUGGAAAAGGGGUAGGGCCGAAAGUUUAUGCGGGCUCUUCUCCUCUCUCUCCUCCUCCUUGGGUUCCUCGUCCGGCCGGAGUUUUCUUGGUGAGUGGAAGGGCGUCGGUGAGAGAGAGAGAGAGAGUAGUGCGUGUAGUGUGUGCGAGAGUGGCCAUCGAUCGGCCGCCAACCUCGCCUCGGGGACGACGACGCCGGCGAAUUUCCUCCUCCUCCUCCCGCCCUCGUUACAGCCUCGUCGGCAACGGCGUCGGCGCCUCGUCGUACUCCCUCCGCGACGUCUUCCUCCUGUUCCUCUUCCGCAGCCGCCGCCGCGGGUUCCUCUUCCGCCGGCACCGGGGCGGCGUGCAGCGGCGCGGGGGGUACCGGUUCUUGCCGCCGCCCUUGCCCCCGUUCCCGCCGGUGCCCCGGGUCGGCGGCCGCCGCCUCCUCUGCUGCGCCCUCUAGGUCCACCACGCGCUCCGCAUGGCCGUCGGCCGCCGGGGCCGCAUGCACUACGGGCUCCUCGGGGGGCGGUACCACCUCGACCACCCCACCAUGGAGAUGCCGAAGACGAGGAAGAAGUAGUGGGUGGACGACGACGGCCACGACAAGGGCCGGUAGCAGUGGGUCCAGCGGAAGGGGAGGAGGCUGAAGUGGGGGCUCCGGUUCAUGUGGCAGUUCCCGCGGAGGACGAGGCAGGUGCUCUACAGGUACAUGGUCUCCGACUGGUUCAUGUGGUAACGGUAGAGAUCGAGGGUGUACAGCGGGGACCCGACCUCGCGGGAGAGCACCCGCUAGCCGUAGGAGGAGCACCGCGGCGAGGAGUGGGUCCAGCGCGUGGUGGAGCUGGCCCCGGUCAUGGUCAGCGAGUAGGAGUAGCGGCGCUGCAGCAAGCCGAGGAAGAAGACGGACGAGUGGCCGAAGAAGUUCUGCCAGACCCACAAGGACAAGAUGUAGGAGAAGUAGCGGCGCAGGUAGUAGUAGCGGCUCCGCCACGUGUGGGCGUUGGAGCCCGACUACUAGGCGCCGGAACGGCGGGUACUGAGCCCGUUCGUGGAACAGGACGCGGCGGCGCGACGACGGUCGGUCGAGUCGGAGAUGACGUGGCGGUAGCCGCCGUAGCCCCGCCGCGAGUACCGACGCAAGUACAUGGUGUACGACUCCGCGUGACUGGUCGAGUGGCCGGAGACCCAGCAGAGGUAGAAGUCACCGGAGUAGACCAAGUAGCCGUAGACGGUACCGGAGAAGUGCUUGUCCGGGUCGUCGAGCAGCGGGUGGUGGCGUAAGCUCGGUUUGAAGAAGUCGUUCGAGUUCAUGCGUACUGGUAACCGGCGAUGGGUGUCCGGUACCGACACAAGGACAGUAGGAAGCGGUGUUACACGUAGAAGUGGUCACCGUGCGAGAUGCGGUAACCGCCGCAGACGUAGUUCGGCCAGGACCACGAGCGCGACACCUAGGAGAUGAAGGACAAGGGCGAGUAGAGCGACGGCGACGAGGUGGGCUAGGUCUAGUAGUAGGCGCGGCUGCGGCAGGCGUACGUCGACGACCCCAAGUAGUAGCGGGAGAAGCAGAGGCCGCGGCCCAAGAUGAAGUUCUCGGUGUCCACCUCCCGGCGGGUGUAGUAGUAGUAGCGGGAGCAGGUCUCGUGGCGGUUGCCGUAGGAGAUGAGGAAGCCGGCGUAGGACGACGAGCUGCGGAGCGGCGGCCCGUUCCUCCCGCGCAAGCGGUAGACCAUGCGCAUGCAGGCGACGUACCCGCGGUACUAGCCGAAGCGGCAGCGCAGACGGCCGGGACCCGCGCGCCCUCCUAGGAAGCGACGACGCAAGGACCCGUCGAAGGAGCCGUAGUAGCACGAGUAGAAGCCGUUACAGUCGUUGCAGCCCCGCGAGUUCCGGCGGCCCGUAGAGUUCCCGUACCUCCUGCUCUUCUCCUAGCCGCUCUUCCCGCUCCCGUACUCGCGGCAGCGGCUGAGGCCGCUCAGGUCCCCCUCCCAUACUAACUAUGUAAAGUACCAACCAACCAACCUUUCUAAAGAACGAUGGUAACAACACCACGCAACACGAACACUCUCCCAUACUAAACAAGAAGAUAAAAAGAACAAAAAAGAAAGAACAAGUACAGAGUCACUGUGACAAUUAGGCCACGAGACGGGGAAACUACGUACUACUAAUACUACUACAACUGUAUCACCAUCUCCCUCACACGAUCGUCGAGACAAUUACACAACAAUUUAAGAAAACGAACCUUCUUUCUGUUAACAUUGACUACCACUAUACCAAGGAACAAGUAGCGGGACAGGAGGGACUUUUUAG
rnacentral:rRNA from 1 species